rnacentral:rRNA from 1 species
CAAAUUUUAAAUCUACCUGGUUUCCAGGUCGAGUUGUAAUUUGAAGAAGUGUUUUUUACUUUCCGGGUUGGGUUAAAUCCUUUGGGAUAAGGUAUCAUGGAGGGUGAGAAUCCCGUGUAUACCAACCGCAGGAUYGUUUAAUAUACACUUUCUAAGAGUCGAGUUGUUUGGGAAUGCAGCUCUAAAUGGGUGGUAAAUUUCACCUAAUGCUAAAUAUAAGCGAGAGACCGAUAGCGAACAAGUACCGUGAGGGAAAGAUGAAAAGAACUUUGAAAAGAGAGUUAAAUAGUACGUGAAAUUGUUGAAAGGGAAACGGUUGAAGUCAGUCAUGCCGGCGGGAAUCAACUUAGGGGAAACUCUGAGUGCACUUCUUCGCUUGGCAGGUUAGCGUCGAUUUUGGAUGUCAUAAAAUGACUGGGGGAAGGUAGCUCUUUCGGGAGUGUUAAGCCCUURGUAGAUGUGAUGUCCGGGAUCGAGGAUUGCAACGGAUACCUUUUGGGCUAACCGCCUAGUCUCUAAUACGAAGUUGGGUUAUGGACAGCACGCUGACUGUGAUCUGAUUUUCGGUUAAAAGAUU